rnacentral:rRNA from 1 species
CGCCUGUUUAUCAAAAACAUGUCCUUUUGUUUUAUAUAUAAGGUCUAACCUGCCCAAUGAUUUUUAUUUAAUGGCCGCGGUAUUUUAACUGUGCUAAGGUAGCAUAAUCAUUUGUCUUUUAAUUAAAGGCUAGAAUGAAUGGUUGAACGAGAUUUAAACUUUCUUUAAUUUAUUAAAUGAACUUAAUUUUUUGGUUAAAAAGCCAAAAUGUUUUUGAGGGACGAGAAGACCCUAUAGAUCUUUAUAUUUUUUUAAAUUAUAUAUUUUGGUGAAUUAAUUGUUUUAAUAUAAGAAUUUAUUUGGUUGGGGUGACUGUAGAAUUAAAAUAACUUCUAUUUUUGUUAAUCAUUAAUUAAUGUAUAUUUGAUCCUGUUUUAUUGAUUAAAAGAUUAAGUUACCUUAGGGAUAACAGCGUAAUUUUUUUGGAGAGUUCCUAUCGAUAAAAAAGUUUGCGACCUCGAUGUUGGAUUAAAAUAAGUUUUGGGUGUAGAAGCUUAAAAACUAGGUCUGUUCGACCUUUAAUUUUUUACAUGAUCUGAGUUCAAACCGGAG